GCCACUCUCAAAACACACCACGGAUCUCGAUCGAUCAUGGCCUGUGAUGUUGAUGAUCUUCAACAUAAACAGCAAGACACUCAGCAUUAUGAUAUAUUCUCUCAAUCAUAAGUAGUUGCUCCUGGUCCUGUAUUGUUUUUCUCAAACCUUGAUUCAGUUGUGGAAUUGCUUUUGAUUAAGUGUCCAGCUGAUAGAGAGUUCUCUUACUGCAAUGAGAAAUUUGAAACAUCGGAGGAAUUAUCGGAACAUAAAGAUUACAAGAAUCAUUAUGAAGUAUUCCAACGUGAACAUAAACUUUUGGUGAAUCAUUCAAAAAUCCAAAAAGAACUUGACCCUCAUCAACGGAGGUGGCACUAAGCCCAAGGUUGAUGGAAGGUUAAUCUUAUAUAACCAGAACUCCAGAAGAGGAUAAUAUGUUAGCCAAGUUUGAAUGAAGGACCAAUAAAAGGAAACAAAUGGGAACAUUGGCAAAAGCCUGAGAGGAGAAGAGGUAACUAUCUUAUUCACUUCAUUACCUUUGUGGUGUUGAUGUGGGUCUAUGAUUUUUCAGCGAAAAGAUGAAAAGUGGGAAACUUUGAAAGCACAAAAAUGAUAAAGUCCUUUGAUUUUAGUUAUGCCCAACUUUGUGGACGUUGUGGUUGUUUGUAUAAUUGAAUCCUUCACCUUCAUAUUCUUAAUGCAGCUUAGCUAAUUUCUAUAGGUGAACAGACAAUCAUUUUUCCAUGUGUGCUGGUUUUCAUUUUGUGUAGUUAUAUAGGUAGUAAAAGUG